CGGCUGCAGCCCUCGAGCGCCCGCCGCGCGCGCGCGCGCAACCCCGGCCGCCGCCCGCGCUCCCGCCCCGGCCUCGCGCCCCCGUCCCGGCCUCGCGCCCCGGCCGCCCUUUGUUGACGCCGGCCAGGCCGGUGCGGUCGGAUGCGCCGCGGCAGCCCCGGGCCCCGGCUCGGAGGCUCCCGGCGGAGAGGAGGCGGCCCGCCCGGGCCCGGGACCCCGCGCGAGUCGGCGCCCGGCCGAGGGGCUGCGUAGGCCCCAACCGGCCAGGCCCAGCCGGGCCCUGGACAGAGACAGGGCAGGGCAUUGUUCAUGCACUGACCGACCUCAGCAGCCCCGGCAUGACCUCAGGGAACGGAAACUCUGCCUCCAGCAUCGCCGGCACUGCCCCCCAGAAUGGUGGGACGCUCGUCCCUGCUGGUGGGGAAUCUCAAGAAGAAGUAUGCACAGGGGUUCCUGCCUGAGAAACUUCCACAGCAGGAUCACACCACCACCACUGACUCGGAGAUGGAGGAGCCCUAUCUGCAAGACUCAGACCACGUGGAAGAAAAAAAUGUCAAGUAUACAAGGGGCAUCCCCAGACACCCUUGAGUGCAUUCCAGGGAAUCCAAAGAGGAGGGUGCUCCCCUCAAACUCAAGUGUGAGCUCUGUGGCCGGGUGGACUUUGCCUAUAAGUUCAAGCGUUCCAAGCGCUUCUGUUCCAUGGCUUGUGCAAAGAGGUACAACGUGGGAUGCACCAAACGGGUGGGACUUUUCCACUCAGACCGGAGCAAGCUGCAGAAGGCAGGAGCUGCGACCCACAACCGCCGUCGGGCCAGCAAAGCCAGUCUGCCACCACUUACCAAGGAUACCAAGAAGCAGCCAACAGGCACUGUGCCCCUUUCGGUCACUGCUGCUUUGCAGCUAACACACAGCCAGGAAGACUCCAGCCGUUGCUCAGAUAACUCAAGCUAUGAGGAACCCUUGUCACCCAUCUCAGCCAGCUCAUCUACUUCCCGCCGGCGACAAGGCCAGCGGGACCUGGAGCUCCCCGACAUGCAUAUGCGGGACCUGGUGGGCAUGGGACACCACUUCCUGCCAAGUGAGCCCACCAAGUGGAACGUAGAAGACGUCUAUGAAUUCAUCCGCUCUCUGCCAGGCUGCCAGGAGAUAGCAGAGGAAUUCCGUGCCCAGGAAAUCGACGGGCAAGCCCUGCUGCUGCUCAAGGAGGACCACCUGAUGAGCGCCAUGAACAUCAAGCUGGGGCCCGCCCUGAAGAUCUACGCCCGCAUCAGCAUGCUCAAGGACUCCUAGGGCUGGCGGCAGCCAGGAUUCUGGCCCAGGGCGCCUCCUCCCGACUGAGCAGAGCCAGACAGACAUUCCUGAGGGGCCCAGAAAUGGGGCCAGUUGGAGGGCAGGGGCUCUCCCUAGGGGUGUAGCUGGUGAGGAGGUCUGGGCACCUCCUCCAUGGCUCUCAGGGGCCUUUCAUU
rnacentral:sRNA from 1 species